AGAGUUUGAUCCUGGCUCAGGAUGAACGCUGGCGGCGUGCCUAACACAUGCAAGUCGAACGGAGUUCUUAAGGAAUGCGACUUCGGUCAAAUGACUUUUGAACUUAGUGGCGGACGGGUGAGUAACGCGUGAGCAACCUGCCUUUCAGAGGGGGAUAACAUUUGGAAACAGAUGCUAAUACCGCAUAAGAUUACAGUACCGCAUGAUACAGUGAUCAAAGGAGCAAUCCGCUGAAAGAUGGGCUCGCGUCCGAUUAGAUAGUUGGUGAGGUAACGGCUCACCAAGUCGACGAUCGGUAGCCGGACUGAGAGGUUGAACGGCCACAUUGGGACUGAGACACGGCCCAGACUCCUACGGGAGGCAGCAGUGGGGAAUAUUGCACAAUGGGCGAAAGCCUGAUGCAGCAACGCCGCGUGAGGGAAGACGGUUUUCGGAUUGUAAACCUCUGUUUUCGGUGACGAACAAAUGACGGUAACCGAGUAGGAAGCCACGGCUAACUACGUGCCAGCAGCCGCGGUAAUACGUAGGUGGCAAGCGUUAUCCGGAAUUACUGGGUGUAAAGGGAGCGCAGGCGGGAUAGCAAGUCAGCUGUGAAAACUAUGGGCUCAACCCAUAAACUGCAGUUGAAACUGUUAUUCUUGAGUGGAGUAGAGGCAAGCGGAAUUCCGAGUGUAGCGGUGAAAUGCGUAGAUAUUCGGAGGAACACCAGUGGCGAAGGCGGCUUGCUGGGCUCUAACUGACGCUGAGGCUCGAAAGUGUGGGGAGCAAACAGGAUUAGAUACCCUGGUAGUCCACACUGUAAACGAUGAUUGCUAGGUGUGGGGGGUCUGACCCCCUCCGUGCCGGAGUUAACGC
rnacentral:rRNA from 1 species